rnacentral:rRNA from 1 species
AAUCAACGCUGGCGGCGUGCCUAACACAUGCAAGUCGCACGAGAAAGGGAGCAAUCCCUGAGUAAAGUGGCGCACGGGUGAGUAACACGUGAAUCAUCUACCUCCGAGUGGGGUAGUAACUGAGAGAAAUACUUAGCUAAUACCGCAUAACACUUACGAGUCAAAGCAGCAAUGCGCUUGGAGAGGAGUUCGCGGCCGAUUAGUUAGUUGGCGGGGUAAGUGGCCC